ACUCACCAGGGCGCGGUUGAACCUCUCCUCCAGCUCUCCGGCCGCGGGCAUCGGCUGCUUGGGAGGCGCGGGCUGCUUGGGGGGCGGCGCGGCGGGGCCCGCGGGCUGCUCGGCGCUGCCGGCCGCGUUGCCCAUGGUGGUCCCCACCCAGCCGGCCAGGCGCCUCCAGCCUCGGAAAUCCAGCUUUCCGGGGGACGGGGACGAGGCUCCCGGCCCGGGCGGGGGCGAGGGGGCAGCGGCUGGCGGUGGCGGCGGGGGUCUCGGCAGCGGGGGGCGCUCGGCUCAGCGGCGCGCAGGGGCCGGAGCGCGGCGUCCCAUCGGGGCGGCCCCGUCCGUGGGACCGGGCGGCGAGCUGCAGGGUUGGGGGAGGAAGUCAGGCUGCAGGCCGCCGGGGCCAGAGGGCUGGGCCGGGGGCAGGAAGCUGCGGCGCUGGCUCCCCCCUCGGCGAUUUUCGAACUUCUGCUGUCGCUCCCCGUGCGCGCAAACCGCAGUUCGCCGCCGCCGCCGCCGGGCACCCAGCCCCAGGGGGGCGGGCUGGAGGGAGGGGGCGGGCGCUGGCCGGGGGACCCCCGCAACCAUGGCGGGCGGGGAGUGGGCUGCCGAGCCGCUUCACCUGCCGCAGAGGGGGCGGCCGGCGCCGCUUCACCUGCCGGAGCGGGAGGCCACCGAGGCGAGGCCGAGGCGGCGGCGCGCUCGGCGGCGCCUCCGGGUCCUAGAACCGCAUCCUCCCGCUCGCCUCGGGCGAGGGAUUGGCCGGGUCUGGGUGAAGGGGAUCACGGCCUGGGGAUUGGAGGGGCACAUCUUCUCCGCACCGAGGAUCUCAGCGACUGCGAGCACGGCUCGGAGACCCACGGUGGUGCAGCGUUGGGGCGCCAGGGCUGCGUUCCCGUCUCGCGUCCCGGACUGAGAAGAGCCACUGACAAGACUUUAAGCAAGAGACGGAGAGUUAACAUCUAAUCUGGAGGAAGACCCUGGAAGGAGCCAGCCCCUUCCCCCAGGCUGACCUGGUUUAAGCCUUUCUUCUGCCAAGGUCACCAGCACCCCAGAUGGGUGAGAGAUGUGAUCACUGGUUUCGUGGCCUGACCAAGGACCUCCAAGGAGGUAUCUUUCCCAUCUUGGCCCACAGAGGAGGAAAUCCUAGAAGGGAUGACUGAAGCUUGGGACUAACACAUUGGUGGAUCUGUGCUACCCCCUGCUGGCCGUAGACGGUAUGACAGCCAAGAUAGGGCAAGGCUUCGAGGGGCGAUGGAUGGAUUCACCGCAGCGGCGACAUUUCUGGACUGUUGUCACCUUCAGUGCAGUCACUGGGAAUAUUCAGAACCCAGGUGAUUGAUAAGGUUUUCCCAGGGAUCUCUUCUCUCCCCUUCACCAUUACUCAGUAGGAGCUUCCUUAAAAACGGAAAACGAGAGGCCGGGCGCGGUGGCUCACGCCUGUAAUCCCAGCACUUUGGGAGGCGGAGGCGGGCGGAUCACGAGGUCAGGAGAUCGAGACCAUCCUGGCUAACACAACCCCGUCUCUACUUAAAAUACAAAAAAUUAGCCGGGCGUGGUGGCACGCGCCUGUAGUUCCAGCUACUCAGGAGGCUGAGGCAGGAGAAUCGCUUGAACCCGGGAGGCAGAGGAGGUUGCAGUGAGCUGAGAUGGCGCCACUGCACUCCAGCCUGGCCGACUGAGACUCCAUCUCAAAAAAAAAAAAAAAAAAAGGAAAAAGGGGCCGGGCGCGGUGGCUCACGUCUAUAAUCCUAGCACUUUGGGAGACCAAGGCGGGCAGAUCACGAGGUCAGGAAUUUGAGACUAGUGUGGCCAACAUGGUGAAACCCCAUCUCUACUAAAAAUACAAAAAAUUAGCCGGGUGUGGUGGCGCAUGCCUGUAAUCCUAGCUACUCGGGAGGCCGAGGCAGGAGAAUCGCUUGAACCCAGGAGGCCGAGGUUGCAGUGAGCCGAGAUCACGCCAUUGCACUCCAGCCUGGGCGACAGAGCAAGACUCCGUCUUGAGGGAAAAAAAAAAAAAAAAGAAAAAGGGGCCAGGCACCUGUAAUCCCAGCACUUUGGGAGGCUGAGGAGGGAAGAUCGCUAAAACCCAGGAGUUCAAGACCAGCCUGGGCAACAUGGUGAGACCCCAUCUCUACAAAAAAUGCAAAAAAAAAAAAAACAAAAACAAAAAAAAAAACAGCUGGGCAUGAUGGUGCGCACCUGUAGUCCCAGCUACUCGGGAGGCUGAGGUGGGAGGAUUAUUUGAGCCUGAGAGGUCAAGGCUGCAGUGAGCCAAGAUCGCAUCACUGCACUCUAGCCUGGGUAACAGAGCAAGACCCUGCCUCAAAAAAAAAAAAAAAAAAGGAAAAAGGUUAUUACACAGUUCAAAAGAGAAACAAAGUGCAAAAGCAUGUGCAAAGAAAGUAAAGUCCCUCCUGGCCAAGUGCGAUGGCUCAAGCCUGUAAUCUCAACACCCUGGGAGGCUGAAGUGGGUAGAUCAUUUGAGGUCUGGAGUUUGAGACCAGCCUGGCCAACAUGGUGAAACCCCGUCUCUACUAAAAAUAUAAAAAUUAGCUUGGCGUAGUGGCGGGUGCCUGUAAUCCCAGGUACUCGGGAGGCUGAGGCAGGAGAAUCACUUGAACUUGGGAGGCGGAGGGUGCCGCGAGCCAAGAUCACGCCAGUGCACUCUAGCCUGGGCAACAGAGCAAGACUCCAUCUCGAAGGAAGGAAGGAAGGAAGGAAGGAAGGAAGGAAGGAAGGAAGGAAGGAAGGAAGGAAGGGGAAAGAAAGGAAAGAUCUCUUGCCAAUCAGCCUCCCUGUUGCCCUGUUUCCCAUUCCCUCCCCAGAGGCAACCACUCUUAACAGUUUUUUUGUUUUUGUUUUUGUUUUUUUUUAGACAGAGUCUCACUCUGUUGCCCAGGCGGCUGGAGUGCAGUGGUGUGAUCUCAGCUCACUGCGACCUCCGCUUCCCAGAUUCAAGCAAUUCUCCUGCCUCAGCCUCCUGAGUAGCUGGGACUACAGGUGUGUGCCACCACGUUCAGCUAAUUUUUGUAUUUUUAGUAGAGACGGGGUUUCACCAUGUUGGCCAGGCUGGUCUUGAACUCCUGACCUCAAGUGAUCCACCCGCCUUGGCCUCCCAAAGUGCUGGGAUUACAGGUGUGAGCCACCGCGCCUGGCCUCUUAACAGUUCUAAUGUAUCUUUGCAGAGCUAUUUGGAGCAUAUGCUGUGUAUAUGUGCGUGUGUGUGUGACACAAAUGAUAGCACACGCUCUACACUGUUCAGCACCUGCUAUUUUCAUGUCAUAAUAUACCUGCCUGUAGAUAGUCAACAUAGUUUUCCAUCGUAUGGUGUGUCACAAUUUAUUUACCAUUCCCCUCCUAGUGGAUAUUUAUGUAUGUCCGCCUUUUAUUACUACAAACAAUGCUAAUUACAGGAAAUAUCUUGGUACAUAUAUUUGCAGACAUAUGUGUGUGUGUGAAAUAAAUUUAUAAGUAUGGCAAUUCUGGGUCAAAGAUUAUGUGCUCUUAAAUGUUUUAUAGGUUUUCACAGAAUUGCCCUCCAAAAAUUUUGUACCAAUUUACAAUCCCCAACAACGGAUGAGAUCACCUGUUUCCCCAAAUCCUCACAAACAGGUUAAUAUCAGGCCUUUUGAUCUUAGGUGAUGACUCUUUAAAAGUCCUGCUCACAGAGCAGUUGAUGAUCUGUCUUUUUCUUUGGGCCGCGGGUUUCUCCAAGGAAGGGACUGUGUCUUUCUCAUACCUACAUCCCCAGUGAAGGACUUGACACCAUCCUUGGGAGUUACUCAAGAAGUGUCUGCUAAAUAUUGAGUGAAAGAAACAGAGCUGCAUUUUGGCAGGCUGGGAGGGAGAGGGUAAAAGGUUAGGUUUGAACAGGAGGCCUGCUUUUUUUUUUUUUUUUUGAGAUGGAGUCUCACUCUGUUGCCCAGGCUGGAGUGCAGUGGCGCGAUCUCAGCUCACUGCAACCUCCAAGGAGGACUGCUCUUUAGGGCCACUUUCUCUUCCAGACCCUGGUCAAGCCUCUGCCCCAAAUCCAAAAGCCUUCCUCUUGCAGGAGCCUCCCAGGUUGCAAGGUCUGAGGUUGAAGGCCCAGAACUCCCAGUGCAGCUUUCACCCAGCUCUGCUGCAUUCCAGGGAUGGGCCCCAUCAUCCCCAAGCUGCCUGAGAACUGGAAACAAACUAGGUGUCCAGCUUUAGGGGAUCAGUUAAACCACUGUCCUAUAGAACUUUCUGCAAUGAUGAAAAUGUUCUCUAUCUGCCCUGUCCAAUAUGGCAGCCACUGGCCACUCGUAGCUACCGAGUAUUCAAGCUGUAGCUAGUUCAACUAAGGAAAUAAAUAAAUGUUACUUAAUUUUAAUUAAUUUCCAUUUAAGUAGCCAUGUGUGGCUACAUAUUGGACAGUGAAGGGUUCAGUAAAUUAUGAUAUAGCCCCACAAUGGAAAACUAUGCAGCUGUAAAAAAAAAAAAUAAUAAGGAUGCCAAGAAAAAUGGAAAGAUCUUCAGGAUAUAUUUUGAAACAAAAAUGUGGUACAGGCUGUGUGCAGUGGCUCACGCCAAUAAUCCCAGCACUUUGGGAGGCCAAGGUGAGAGGCCGAGGCAGGAGGAUCACUUGAGUCCAGGGGUUCAAGACCAGCCUGGUCAACAUAAUGAGACUUCCGUCUCUACAGAAAGUGAAAAAAAAAAAAAAGACAGCAUGGUGGUAUAUGAAUGUAGUCCCAUCUACUCAGGAAGCUGAGGUGGGAGGAUUGCUUGAGCCAGGGAAGUUGAGGCUGCAGUAAGCUGUGAUUGUGCCACCACACUCCAGCCUGUGUGACAGAGCAAGACCCCAUCUAAAAAAAAAAAAAAAGGCCAGGCACGAUGGCUCACACAUGUAAUCCCAGCACUUUGGGAGGCCGAGGACCGUGGAUCACCUGAGGUUGGGAGCUCAAGACCAGCCUGACCAACAUAGAGAAACCUCAUCUCUACUAAAAACACAAAAUUAGCUGGGUGUGGUGGCACAUGCCUAUAAUCCCAGCUACUCAGAAGACUGAGGCAGAAGAACCACUUGAACCCAGGAGGCGGAGGUUGCGGUGAGCCAAGAUAGUGCCAUUGCACUUCAGCCUGGGUAACAAGAGCGAAACUCUGUCUCAAAAAAAAAAAUGUGGUUCAGAACAGUAUACAUAGUAUGUCAUCUUUUUUGAAAGAAAGGCAGGUAGGCCGGGCGCAGUGGCUCACACCUGUAAUCCCAGCACUUUGGGAGGCCGAGGUGGGCGGAUCACGAGGUCAGGAGAUUGAGACCAUCCUGGCUAACGCGGUGAAACCCUGUCUCUACUAAAAAUACAAAAAAUUAGCCGGGCGUAGGUGGUGCACUCCUGUAGUCCCAGCUACUCGGGAGGCUGAGGCAGGAGAAUGGCGUAAAACCCGGGAGGCUGAGCUUGCAGUGAGCCAAGAUCGCGCCACUGUACUUCAGCCUGGGAGACAGAGCGAGAUUCCGUCUCAAAAAAUAAAAAAAAAAGAAAAAGAAAGGCAGGUAGAGGAGGCUGGAUGUGGUGGCUCAUGCCUGUAAUACCAGCACUUUGGGAGGCCAAGGGGGACAGAUCACUUGCAGAAAUGUGAGACCGGCCUGGACAACAUGGUGAAACCCCAUCUCUACACAAAAUACAAAAAUUAGUUGGACGUGGUAGUGCGCACCUGUAGUCCCAGCUACUCAGGAGGCUAAAGUGGGAGGGUUGCUUGAGCUGGGGAAGUCAAGGCUGCAGUGAGCCAAGAUUGCACCACUGCACUCCAGCAGGGGUGACAGAGGGAGACAGCAGGAGUGACAGAGUGAGACCCUGUCUCAAAAAAAAAAAGAAAAGAGCUUUGCACAGUGGUAGUAUCGUAGCCAAUGAAUGAAAGGGAGGUGGAAAUAAAAAUAAAUGUUUAUAUUUGCUUGAAUUUGCAUAGGGAAAGCAAUAACAGUGGGUGACCUAUAGGGAGCUGGGGAAUCCUGUUGCGGGGGUAGGCAAGGACAGGGUGGGAACAGAGCUUUCCAGUGAAUUUCUUUAUAUUUCAUUUUGGUUGUUGAAACAUGUACAUAUAUUACCUAUUCAAAAAGUUAAAUUAAGGUCAGGUGCAGUGGCUCAUGCCCGUAAUCCCAGUACUUUGGGAGGUUGAGGUAGGAGGAUCACUUUACCCCAGGAGUUGGAGACCAGCCUGGGCAAUAUAGUGAGACCUCCUUUCUACAAAAAGUUUACAAAUUAGCCAUAAGCCAGGUGCGGUGGCUCACACCUGUAAUCCCAGCACUUUGGGAGGCG
rnacentral:lncRNA from 1 species